UACAGAGGGUGCAAGCGUUGCUCGGAAUUAUUGGGCGUAAAGGGUAGGUAGGUGGUCUCAUUUGUCAGGGGUGAAAGCCUUGGGCUUAACUCAAGAAGUGCCCCUGAAACGGUGAGACUGGAGUCCUGGAGAGGGUCGUGGAAUUCCCGGUGUAGCGGUGAAAUGCGUAGAGAUCGGGAGGAACACCAGAGGCGAAAGCGGCGACCUGGACAGGUACUGACACUCAACUACGAAAGCGUGGGGAGCAAACAGG
rnacentral:rRNA from 1 species